rnacentral:rRNA from 1 species
UACAGAGGGUGCAAGCGUUGUUCGGAAUUAUUGGGCGUAAAGCGCGUGUAGGCGGCUUUGCAAGUCGGGUGUGAAAGCCCUCAGCUCAACUGAGGAAGUGCGCCCGAAACUGCAGAGCUUGAGUGCCGGAGAGGGUGGCGGAAUUCCCUAAGUAGAGGUGAAAUUCGUAGAUAUGGGGAGGAACACCGGUGGCGAAGGCGGCCUCCUGGACGGUAACUGACGCUGAGACGCGAAAGCGUGGGGAGCAAACAGG